UGAGUGCGAGCUGCUACGGCAGCGAAGUUGGUGAUGUCAUGCUUCCAAGAAAAGCCCUAUACCCGUUAAGGCAUCAUGGCCUGUACCCGAAACCGACACAGGUGGGGUGGUAGAGAAUACCGAGGGGCGCGAGGUAACUCUCUCUAAGGAACUCGGCAAAAUGGCCCCGUAACUUCGGGAGAAGGGGUGCCACCGCAAGGUGGUCGCAGUGAAGAGGCCCAGGCGACUGUUUACCAAAAACACAGGUCUCCGCUAAGUCGCAAGACGAUGUAUGGGGGCUGACGCCCCCCAGUGCCGGAAGGUUAAGGAAGCUGGUCAGCGCAAGCGAAGCUAGCGACUGAAGCCCCGGUGAACGGCGGCCGUAACAAUAACGGUCCUAAGGUAGCGAAAUUCCUUGUCGGGUAAGUUCCGACCCGCACGAAAGGCGUAACGAUCUGGGCGCUGUCUCGGAGAGAGGCUCGGCGAAAUAGAAUUGUCUGUGAAGAUGCGGACUACGUGCACCCGGACAGAAAGACCCUAUGAAGCUUUACUGUAGCUUGGUAUUGUGCCCGGGCUCGCAAUGCGCAGGAUAGGUGGGAGGCUUUGAUCAUCGGCUUGCGGGUCGAUGUGAGCCAACGGUGAGAUACCACUCUUUGCGAGCUAGGGUUCUAACGGCCACCCGUCAUCCGGGGGCCGGACAGUACCUGGUGGGCAGUUUGACUGGGGCGGUCGCCUCCUAAAAGGUAACGGAGGCGCGCAAAGGUUUGCUCAGGCUGGUUGGAAAUCAGCCGACGAGUGUAAAAGCAGAAGCAAGCUUGACUGUGAGACCAACAAGUCGAACAGGGAGGAAACUCGGCUUUAGUGAUCCGACGGUUCUGAGUGGAAGGGCCGUCGCUCAGCGGAUAAAAGUUACUCUAGGAUAACAGGCUGAUCUCCCCCAAGAGUUCACAUCGACGGGGAGGUUUGGCACCUCGAUGUCGGCUCAUCGCAACCUGGGGCUGAAGUCGGUCCCAAGGGUUGGGCUGUUCGCCCAUUAAAGCGGUACGCGAGCUGGGUUCAGAACGUCGUGAGACAGUUCGGUCCAUAUCCGGUGCACGCGCAGGAAUAUUGAGAGGAUUUCUCCCUAGUACGAGAGGACCGGGAGGAACGCACCUCUGGUGUACCAGUUAUCGUGCCAACGGUAAACGCUGGGUAGCCAUGUGCGGAGUGGAUAACCGCUGAAAGCAUCUAAGUGGGAAGCCCACCUCAAGAUGAGUAUUCCCAUGGCGUAAGCCAGUAAGGUCACGGGAAGAACACCCGUUGAUAGGCUCUAUGUGGAAGCGCAGUAAUGCGUGAAGCAGAGGAGUACUAAUAGACCGAGGGCUU
rnacentral:rRNA from 1 species